GUGCCAGCAGCCGCGGUAAUACGUAGGUGGCAAGCGUUGUCCGGAAUUAUUGGGCGUAAAGGGCUCGCAGGCGGUUUCUUAAGUCUGAUGUGAAAGCCCCCGGCUCAACCGGGGAGGGUCAUUGGAAACUGGGAAACUUGAGUGCAGAAGAGGAGAGUGGAAUUCCACGUGUAGCGGUGAAAUGCGUAGAGAUGUGGAGGAACACCAGUGGCGAAGGCGACUCUCUGGUCUGUAACUGACGCUGAGGAGCGAAAGCGUGGGGAGCGAACAGGAUUAGAAACCCCCGUAGUCC
rnacentral:rRNA from 1 species